AGCAGGCGCGCAAAUUACCCACUCCUGGAACGGGGAGGUAGUGACGAAAAAUAACAAUACGGGACUCUUUCGAGGCCCCGUAAUUGGAAUGAGAACAUUUUAAAUCCCUUAACGAGGAUCUAUUGGAGGGCAAGUCUGGUGCCAGCAGCCGCGGUAAUUCCAGCUUCAAUAGCGUAUAUUAAAGUUGUUGCAGUUAAAAAGCUCGUAGUUGGAUCUCGGGCUCGGGCUGGCGGUCCUCUUAACGGUGGUACUGCUUGUCCCGACCUACCUCCCGGUAUUUUCUUGGUGCCCUUGGUUGGGUGUCUCGAGGAUCCGGAACGUUUACUUUGAAAAAAUUAGAGUGCUCAAAGCAGACAGUUGUCUGAAUAUCUCAGCAUGGAAUAAUGGAAUAGGACCUCGGUUUUAUUUUGUUGGUUUUGAAGACUCGAGGUAAUGAUUAAGAGGGACUGACGGGGCCAUUCGUAUUACGGCGUUAGAGGUGAAAUUCUUGGAUCGCCGUAAGACGAACUACUGCGAAAGCAUUUGGCAAGAAUGUUUUCAUUAAUCAAGAACGAAAGUCAGAGGUUCGAAGACGAUCAGAUACCGUCCUAGUUCUGACCAUAAACGAUGCCAUCUAGCGAUCCGCCGCUGUUGACUAUGGGACACGGCGGGCAGCUUCCGGGAAACCAAAGUUUUUGGGUUCCGGGGGGAGUAUGGUUGCAAAGCUGAAACUUAAAGGAAUUGACGGAAGGGCACCACCAGGAGUGGAGCCUGCGGCUUAAUUUGACUCAACACGGGGAAGCUCACCCGGCCCGGACACUGUGAGGAUUGACAGAUUGAGAGCUCUUUCUUGAUUCGGUGGGUAGUGGUGCAUGGCCGUUCUUAGUUGGUGGAGUGAUUUGUCUGGUUAAUUCCGAUAACGAACGAGACUCUGGCCUAUUAAAUAGUCUGCCGAUUUGCUUGGUCGGCAGUGACUUCUUAGAGGGACAAGUGGCGUUUAGCCACACGAGAUUGAGCAAUAACAGGUCUGUGAUGCCCUUAGAUGUUCGGGGCCGCACGCGCGCUACACUGAAGGGAUCAGCAUGUGUCUACCCUGUGCCGAAAGGUAUGGGUAACCCGUUGAACCCCCUUCGUGCUUGGGAUUGCGGUUUGCAAUUUUUUCGCAUGAACGAGGAAUUCCCAGUAAGCGUGGUUCAUUAGACCACGUUGAUUACGUCCCUGCCCUUUGUACACACCGCCCGUCGCUACUACCGAUUGAAUGGUUUAGUGAGAUAGUGGGAUUGGCUCCGGUGAGGUGGUUCGCUGCCCCGUCGGUGGUUGAGAAGACGCUCGAACUUGAUCAUUUAGAGGAAGUAAAAGUCGUAACAAGGUUUCUGUAGGUGAA
rnacentral:rRNA from 1 species